UGCAAGUCUCAGCGAAUGACGAGGAGCUUGCUCCUCUGAUUUAGCGGCGGACGGGUGAGUAACACGUGGGUAACCUGCCUGUAAGACGGGGAUAACUCCGGGAAACCGGAGCUAAUACCGGAUGAUAACGAGAAGCGCCUGCUUCUUUUUUGAAAGUCGGUUUCGGCUGACGCUUACAGAUGGGCCCGCGGCGCAUUAGCUAGUUGGUGAGGUAACGGCUCACCAAGGCGACGAUGCGUAGCCKACCUGAGAGGGUGAUCGGCCACACUGGGCACUGAGACACGGCCCAGACUCCUACGGGAGGCAGCAGUAGGGAAUCUUCGGCAAUGGACGAAAGUCUGACCGAGCAACGCCGCGUGAGCGAUGAAGGCCUUCGGGUCGUAAAGCUCUGUUGUCAGAGAAGAACAAGUACCGGAGUAACUGCCGGUACCUUGACGGUACCUGACCAGAAAGCCACGGCUAACUACGUGMCAGCAGCCGCGGUAAUACGUAGGUGGCAAGCGUUAUCCGGAAUUAUUGGGCGUAAAGCGCGCGCAGGCGGUCNUUUUNAGUCUGAUGUGAAAGCCCACCGCUCAACNGUGGAG
rnacentral:rRNA from 1 species